rnacentral:rRNA from 1 species
AACGAACGCUGGCGGCAUGCCUAACACAUGCAAGUCGAACGAGACCUUCGGGUCUAGUGGCGCACGGGUGCGUAACGCGUGGGAACCUGCCCUUAGGUUCGGAAUAACUCAGAGAAAUUUGAGCUAAUACCGGAAUGUCUUCGGACCAAAGAUUUAUCGCCUUUGGAUGGGCCCGCGUAGGAUUAGCUUGUUGGUGGGGUAAUGGCCUACCAAGGCGACGAUCCUUAGCUGGUCUGAGAGGAUGAUCAGCCACACUGGGACUGAGACACGGCCCAGACUCCUACGGGAGGCAGCAGUGGGGAAUAUUGGACAAUGGGCGAAAGCCUGAUCCAGCAAUGCCGCGUGAGUGAUGAAGGCCUUAGGGUUGUAAAGCUCUUUUACCAGGGAUGAUAAUGACAGUACCUGGAGAAUAAGCUCCGGCUAACUCCGUG